rnacentral:tRNA from 1 species
UGGGAUAUAGCUUAAUGGUAUAGUACUUGCUUGACUUCCAUGAAGCCCAGGGUUCAAUCCCCAGCCUCCCAG